rnacentral:rRNA from 1 species
GACGAACGCUGGCGGCGUGCUUAACACAUGCAAGUCGAACGGAAAGGCCCUGCUUUUGUGGGGUGCUCGAGUGGCGAACGGGUGAGUAACACGUGAGUAACCUGCCCUUGACUUUGGGAUAACUUCAGGAAACUGGGGCUAAUACCGGAUAGGAGCUCCUGCUGCAUGGUGGGGGUUGGAAAGUUUCGGCGGUUGGGGAUGGACUCGCGGCUUAUCAGCUUGUUGGUGGGGUAGUGGCUUACCAAGGCUUUGACGGGUAGCGGGCCUGAGAGGGUGACCGGCCACAUUGGGACUGAGAUACGACCCAGACUCCUACGGGAGGCAGCAGUGGGGAAUAUUGCACAAUGGGCGGAAGCCUGAUGCAGCAACGCCACGUGCGGGAUGACGGCCUUCGGGUUGUAAACCGCUUUCGCCUGUGACGAAGCGUGAGUGACGGUAAUGGGUAAAGAAGCACCGGCUAACUACGUG